UCUGCCAGGCUGACAAAGCAGAAGUUAUGCAAAACAACAACAUUGUGCUUGCUCAAAAGUUGAGGUAGAGGAACAGCCACCUAGAAAGAACACCAGACUUUGAAGACAGACCCCAAAGAACCAAAGCUUUGUGCUGAGCAGUGCUUCAGUUGCCCAGGAGUUCCCAUAACUCUCCAGAAGGCUACUGCAGGAAAAACCAGCAGCAGACACAGACUCCUGCUUCCUGACAUCCUCAUAUAAGUGAGCAGUGGCUGAAAUGAGCUUUUUUUCCUCCCGGUUUGAGAUUAGGAAACCAGCUCACCAUGGACAGAGAGCAAAACCACAGCACAUCACAGGAGAAGAAAGGGCUCCCUGACAGCACAGCUCCAGAGAUCCUCACACAGGCAAGGUGCAGUGACACCACCCUGUGUCUGUGUCAAGGGUUUUGCCGCAUAGUUCCUUCCAUGAGCGAGCACAGACUUUGCUGAUCAGAGAGCCUUCAGUAUUCCAGCAUAAAUUCAAAUGUGUACAUGUGGCUGUGAAGAGAAAUGCGUGCUCACAGAGCCUCCAUUCAACCCUGUGCUGCAUUAAGUUUUCCAAGAUGUGCAUUGCCCAGCUCCAGCAUCUCAGCAUCUGGAGCUCUCCCUAUUUAUGUGACUGGAGAACUCCUGAUGUGAGAAUGCAGCCCAGGCACAAAGAAAUGCAGUCCAGCCCCAGGACUGAGUGGUCAAUGCUGUAAGGACAGCUUGUGAAAGAGUCUUCAGGGGACAGAGUUUCAAAGGUGGAACUUGGCAUGAAGAAGCAGGGAAAAAGAUCCAAGAGUAGAAACAAGUAACAAAAAAAUUUAAAAUGCCAGCUGUGGGAAACUGAGACACAGGAAUCAGAAAUGAAAUACAAUCAAAAGUGUAUGGUUGAGAGAUCCCAAAAAGAGGUGGAGAAGCUUUACCAGCUUGUUUGUGCAAAAGUUGGAAAAAAUGUCACAUUCUAUUUGUUGUGUAUUUUGGAUGGUUGAAAAGCUCCUUGAAGUCUUCCAGCAUUUCACAGGAAAAGAUUCUGGGAUUUUUCCUGGGGGUGUCAGAAGGGGGAGGGUUCCUUUUUCAUUUAGCAUUUUUAGUAUUCAAAUUAGAAGACUUUCAGCAUCCCAGGGUGAAACUCAAAAGCCUUUCCCUAGGAAGCCUGGGAGCAUAUCAAAAAUCAAUGGCAUGGAGGAUGGAAAAAGUUUCAAAAAUGUGAGACUGGCAGGAAAUACUGGCACAUUUCUGUUUGAUAUUUACUUUCUUGGCAUGCAGUAGCUCUUUUAGCGCCAAUGGAAAAUCCUUUAGUGCCAAGCCACUCUCAGAUAAAUCUGCACACAAAUGUACUUUGAAUUGGCAUGUAGCUUUUGAGAUUAAGGUUUAACCCUUGCCAAAAUACGCAUUUUUGGAUUCUAGCAUCUCUCUUAAGUUAAUUAGAUAACUUAAUAAUACUAAAAUGCUACACAUGACUGAUUUGAAUUUGAUGCAUUUGAGCUGAGCAAAACCAAAUGAAUGGGGAAGAGUGGAGACACCUGUCAUGGAAGAACAGCCAACCAAGGCUCUGAAUUUUGUAGAGACACCAAGGAAAUUGCAGCCAAAAAAAUACACAGCCUAAACCUAAUCCCUGGGGAUGACUGAAUGCCAUUACAAGAGCAGAGGUGAUUUUCAUGUGAGUGGGGAAUGUGGAGAGGUUGAGGAAACACAAGCAGAUCUUACAUCUAGUCCUGCUAAGGAAUUUUAAAGCCCCUUAGCCAUUCUUAUUAAAUCCAUGCUUGCACUAUAACCUACUCAAAAACAUAGACUUUCAAGUUCAACCUUCAACUGUAUAGUCCUGAAAGAAAAAACUAAAACCUUACAUUAUUCCAGAUCUCAUGGUUUUCAGCUUAGCCUAUUGACUGUCCUGUCCCCAGGCUGGUCAAUGACCAGGUGGAGGUUUACUGCUGUCUCUUUUGCUAAUAAAGCACUUUUGUGGGAAUAUCUUGGAUCAGUAGUGCUUCCUGCAGCAGUCUGGGAGCAAGUACUGGACUCCCAGGUCAUGCAGGGAUUGAACAUUACUGCAUUUCAAUAUAAUAAAGUCCAUGUGGCAUUAUGGACACAAGCAGGGUGUGCACAUCACUGGAAGCAGUGCCACGAAUCAGGGGUGUGGUGAGAAUCAGGAGCCAAAGCCAGGCAGCACAAAGAAACAUCUACAGACCAAGAAAAUUGUGGAUAUCAAUCAAAGCCUGGAUUUUUUGCCCAUUUCCCAGUUAUUUCUCCAUUUUCAUCCGUCAACAUAUGAAGAAUAUUUCUCAGGAAGGGAAGGUUCCUUGCACCCUCUCUUUCCUUGCAACUUUGCAAAACAACACUUCUGACAGAGUGCAUCUCUGCUGUCAGUGGUACAAUGAGAACCCAUUGGUACCUCUGGGAAACUGGAGAAUACCACUGGAUCAGCUGGAACUCUUGAAAUUACACUUUUUCCUGACAGUAUGUGAAGACAAUAUAAUUAAUUGCAAAGAAAUGAAAGGUAUGAGAACAGAGAUCAACUCAAGAAAUUCUGCUGGUGUUGUUUUUAUAUAGAGUUUAAUUAAGCUGUUUUUAAAAGGCUAGGACACAUGAAAUCAGCAUGAAUCUGAAUUAGCUGUAUUCCAUAAUCCCAUUAUUAUAUCUUGUCAGAAAGAAAUUACUUGAAAUAUAGCUUGCUCUAAAACAGUCCCUUUUUGGCAGCAGUAGAACAAAAAUCUGAAAGUUCAGCCACAUCAGCUACAACAAAUCCUAGUGCUGUUAAAAACUUCAGGUAUGCAAAGUCUUCCAGUGUAAUGCAAUAGAGUAAUAUUAACUUUAACAAAAUACAAUGGACAUUCUAUUCAAUAAGUUGUGACAUACCUUGUUUAUGUCAUUUAUCUCCUCUAAUGUUGCUUCUUUGGCUUCAAACCAGUAAAGUCAGAGAAGCCUAGUACAGAGUCUCUAGACCAGUAUUUCUAGGCCUAAGCAACACAUCAACAAUGUCAGACUCCAGAUUAUUCUGACUGUCCCACUGCAAAAUUACUUGAAAUCGUAGAUUUAUGAAAAGAGGAACAUCAGCUGUCAUCCCAGCUUUCCAGCAUUUGGCAAACUUGCUUCUACCCUGUCAAUAAAAGUAGGUGUUAUUAAUAGAGCAGGAACUCAAAGGAAUUGCUUAAAGCCUGUUUCUUAGAUACACAAUUUAUGGUAUUCAGACAAAUUCACCAAAAAUGUGUCAGGGUAAAAAGGUUGUUUCAUAUAUAUUCUGAUCAAAGAGCUCAUUAUUUAAAUACUGUCAGGUUGUCUUUCAUCUUCAGAACUGGCAAGCAUAGGAAAACAUAUUGCAAAUAAAAGCAGCCUUCCAAAAUGUCAUACUGAUUAUGCAUUCACAAGUCAGCUACUUGAAGCUCGGCGAGACAACAAAUAUCACAGGAGCCCACUAUGUGUUUUAGCUAUUGUGGUUUGAGAGGCUGGACAACAGCCUUUUCUACAUAUAUUGCCAGAAGAGCCAUGUCACAAUGUGUAUAGCCAGUGACACAUUUCCUAACCUACACAUUUAAGUUUAUUUAUUUUGGUGGUUGAUAGAAUAUGGUAGAGACAGGCAUUAAGUUCCUAGCAUUUUAUCAUACCACCUAUUUCACAGGACAUAUGUUGACAUGUUCUGUAAUUUGGUUAACUAUUUUUUCCCCACUAUUUCCCCACACUAUGACAGCAACUACAAUAUAUGACAAUUUGGCUCUAGGAACCUAGGAAAACUGCUGUAAUAGAUGGUUAGACACUUGUUGUGUGUGCAGGAUCUUCUUCAAAGUUAUGAGAUGUUCCCCAGUGUGUACCUUUCCAACAUUAAUGAGGUGCUGAGAAACAAAAAGAAUGAGUGUUAAAUUGUGACUGUUAAUGGGCAAUGAUUUACUUCCACCGACUUUAACAGUUUUUCUCUCUCAGAAAAAAAUCUUUAGUGUAUAUUUUCAUUAGUAUGUUAUCCUCAGAAGAACAGGGAAAUUGAGACUAUCUAAUGUCUCUUGAAGGAAUGCUUUUAACUGCUGAGAAUUGAGGGGAAAAGCCAUGGAAGUAAUUUGCUACUGAAUUUCUUCAUAAUUACAGGGUUACGACACAUGCAAAAACAAUGAGUCUCCUUUUGAAAUUUUACGUGGGUGAAAGGUGAAGACCAAGCUGAAUUGGGUCACUUGUUUACUCUGACAGUGAUGACAAGCUUGAAUAUAUAAUAAUCAAGAGAAGCCAAGAGCCACAUUGACA